rnacentral:misc_RNA from 1 species
GAUGAAGAACGUAGCGAAAUGCGAUAAGUAAUGUGAAUUGCAGAAUUCAGUGAAUCAUCGAAUCUUUGAACGCACAUUGCGCCCGCCAGUAUUCUGGCGGGCAUGCCUGUUCGAGCGUCAUUUCAACCAUCAAGCCCCCGGCUUGUGUUGGGGACCUGCGGCUGCCGCAGGCCCUGAAAACCAGUGGCGGGCUCGCUAGUCACUCCGAGCGUAGUAAUACAUCUCGCUCAGGGCGUGCUGCGGGUUCCGGCCGUUAAAAAGCCUUAUUUACCCAAGGUUGACCUCGGUUCAGGUAGGAAGACCCGCUGAACUUAAGCAUAUCAAUAAGCGGAGGA